rnacentral:sRNA from 1 species
AGGCUUUCACUUUUUUCUUCUCUUCCCCUUCCAUCUUUUCCCUCCCCUUCCCUUCCCCGGGUGUUCAGUUGUAUAUCCAUCGGAAAUGGUGGCUCCUCUGUUCCCCCCGCCCCCCUCCUCAGUGCUCAGCCCUUGACAACGCCAACACAGACACAGGUAUGCUCUUAGAGCAUUUGUGACAUAUCCACUGAAGAGGCAAAUACAUGAAGAUCCACCACAGAGCGAGAGAAAUCCCUCUAUCUCAUUUCCUGACGAUACUUCCUGCCACUACCUGUUGCAACGCAAACAAAGAUUAGAGCAGCUGGAGCCGGAUGAACGUCUGAGGCCUUCCAGUUGGCAUACACGAUUUUAUCCAAAUAGAUAGUACAUAUCGAAUGGAUAUUUUCUCUCCCUCCUCUCGCAUAGCACCCCGCAACCACGGUGAGAUACCGAAAUCCGAAUAUAGCCAU